AAAUACCACAGAACAUCUAUGAUUGGAGUCAAAUAACGUGAACACAUAUUUGGGUCAGUCGAAAUAAUCCUUUUACUGAAUUAGCCAAGCGAGUCAUCAUCUCCAAUAGAUGUUCUUGUGCUGUGUUUUAAACUUGCAAUAACCGACUUUUCAUCCACUCUCAGACAGCUCAGCAAGCUGUGAACACUCCAUUGUUAUGUCAUCACCUUAUAUUAAAUUACACAUGGUCCGUUAUGUAUGGUAACAUAUCAGCAAACAAUGGCUUAUUUACACAAUGAGCAGAUGGAGCAACAUUAUCAAUCAUUUCUUUUUGUUAUCUGUAGAAGUCCAACAUUCACUCACCUUCAGUUCAGGUUUGCUCUCUCCACAAUGUUCACCAGCUAACCACUAAUUAUGUCUGUCUGACAUUUGUUGCAUUUUGUUGCAGGGCUGGGAGCAGGCAGUGGGAUUUUAGGGCUAUUUUGCUUUAAACAACCGCCUACUGCUGUUGAAAAAAAUGCAGAAGAGAGUGUUCAAAACACAUGACAGUGACAGGAGUCGUGUUGUGUUCAGCUGUUCUGGUGCAGAGCUUUUUCACUCAGUGUGGUCAACUCAAGCAGCAAAAAAAAAUAAGGUGCUUGGAGAGCAGUGACUGAGAUUGUCAUAAUGGAUGAUGAAUGGAGAGACUCAUCUGACAGUGUCCUAAAUUAUUCAGUGAGGUGUCUUUUAGCACAGGGAGCUGUGACAGUGGACAUUCACCAUUUGCCAGUAACACCAGGUAAAAAAAAAAGAGUUAUUUAUCCUCAUUCAAAAGAGACUAAUAUUCCACCUACUUCUCUUGUCUUACCAUGUAGUUAAGAGGCAGGGAGGACAGAGGAGUAUGGCGUUGACCCUGAUCUGCACAUGCCAAGGUCACUGGGAUAUGCACUGAUGGGGACGCAUGAACAGUAGCUUCUGAAAUAAACAGGGAGAGAUACUACAUCUGUGAUCAUGUGUGUAAUUACAUAACAUGAAUGUCUGUUUAGAGACUGAUUGCCACAGAAUGGUUAGAAGGUGACUUUCAUUUUUAUGCCUCUAAGCCACUUCACUUUACCAGUAAUGCCUCAGGAACAGUGGCUGCUUUGAGAUAAGCAAGUCUGCAGAGGCCUCCAUGUCAUCCAUUAAUUCCUGAUAAUGGAGACUUCAACAGACAUUAUCCCACUUAUACCAUGGUCAUUUAGCCAUAAAUAAAUAAAUAAAAUCAAAUCAAAAUUAAAAUUUGUCUCUGGUGACACCUGAAAAUGUGACUAACACCUAGAACAAUCAUUCCUAUCCCAUAAAGUUCUUAGUACUCCAGAAAAUAGGACAAACCUUAGAUAUGAUUUCUCUGGCUCUGGCUAAGCUAUGAUCAAGCUAUCAGCUUGCUCAGCUAUCAGGUA